GCUUUUAAAGGAAAAGAGUUAUCCGCUGGCCUUAGGAGUCAAUAUCUCUUGGUGCAAAUCCAAGUGAAAGCU
rnacentral:tRNA from 1 species